GACACGUCGCCUGUUCUCUGCAGAGACGCGAGCCCAUACAAGGUACACGUUGUUGCAGUCGAUCGUCAAAAACCGUCCACCAAACACGCGUUCGUCUAACAAAUAGAUGGAUCAUACAAACUGGAAGCGACAGCUUGGCAGGCAAGAGAGCGCUUUCUACGAACUACGACCGAAAGAUGGGCGACGAGAAGGAGGAAGAAGGGAAAAGAAAGCAAGUGGGUACGAAGCUAAUUAACGUCCAGGUAGUGAAGGAGAAGCGUCGCUAAUAUCGUCGUGUAGUCGAACAGUCAGGCGGCUCGCUACACGUCACGUAGUCGCAAAACUUCAGGAGAGCACCCUUUUCCCAUCCGCGAAUGCCGUGGAUCUCGUAGAUCUCGUUCGUGAGACCCCGAAUAAUCCGUGACUGCUGCGGACGUCAUCUAUUCACACUCGUUCUCGCAACGUGUGAGCGACAUUUCUCUCUACGUCCGCUCGUGCCGGAAAUUGAUCGAAGUUGCGAUUUCUAGUCACGUUACCACGUAAGAAAAGAGAAGAAAAAAAGAGAAGGAUUUUACUUUGGCGCGUCUCAGCGAAGAGGAUAGAGAAAACAUUCCUUCCUCGUGGAUCACGCGCGACGAGUAUCUGGACACGAAACACGAUAAAAUGUCCAGAACAGACAGUGGCUCUAUACAAGUCUUGGUCAAGAAAUAAAUAGAGAAGUGUCGUG